UAAAGCACAACCAACACUAAAGCACCAGAUCUCAUCAGAACUUCGAAGUUAAGUGUGCUUGGGCGAGAGUAGUACUAGAAUGGGUGACCUUCUGGGAAGUCCUCGUGUUGCAUUUU
rnacentral:rRNA from 1 species